rnacentral:rRNA from 1 species
CAGUCGCCGCGGGAAUACGUAGGUGGCAAGUGUUGUCCGGAAUUAUUGGGCGUAAAGCGCGCGCAGGUGGUUUAAUAAGUCUGAUGUGAAAGCCCACGGCUCAACCGUGGAGGGUCAUUGGAAACUGUUAAACUUGAGUGCAGGAGAGAAAAGUGGAAUUCCUAGUGUAGCGGUGAAAUGCGUAGAUAUUAGGAAGAACACCAGUGGCGAAGGCGACUUUCUGGACGAAAACUGACGCUGAGGCGCGAAAGCCAGGGGAGCGAACGGGAUUAGAGACCCCGUAGUCCCUGUCUCUUAUACA